rnacentral:rRNA from 1 species
GGACUGAAACGUACAUCUGAAGGAGGAUUUAGCAGUAAGCAGGAAAUAGAGCGUCCCGCUGAAACUGGCCCUGGAGCGCGCACAUACCGCCCGUCACUCUCCCCAAAAGCACCAAGCAGUUAACUAAAACCUAAUAAUUAAAAGGGGAGGCAAGUCGUAACAUGGUAAGUGUACCGGAAGGUGCGCUUGGAAAAAUC